AUCAUGUGACUGAGUUCUAGCCAAUGAGAGGCAUGUGGAAGUUGCUGGGCGGAACUUCUGUGGAGUCUUUCUGAAAGCAGGUGGAGAAGAAGUCCUGCUUGUUCUCAGCCUUCCUUUUUUCCUCCAGUCUGGGAUGUAGAUGAGAUGGUUGAAGCUCCAGCAGUCAUGGUGGAUCAUGAGGACACUCUGAGGAUGGAAACAAUGUGCUUGGAGGUUGAGUAAGAAAGACAGAAGGAGCUUGGAUCCCUGCUGACCGUAGAACUCUCCCUCACAGCCUGAAAUUACCUCCUUCCAGCCUUUUUUCACAAAAGGAAACGGAGGGCUGGAGAAAUGAUGCAGGUUGGUGGCAAACCCAAGAUUCACCUGGAAAAAAUUCCAUUCUCCUCAAAAUGUGGCUAUCAAGGCCUAAGAUGAUCUUGGAAGCUGCAGGCUGAAGAUGGCAGGGCCUGAGUCCCUGAGCUACUGUGUGGAGUAGAGCCCCACCUCCUGCUGACCAGGAAUAUAGGCACUGGCGGUUACGUAAGUAAGGAAUCAACUUCUGAUAUGUACAGUCGCUGAGAUUUGGGGGUUUAUGUGUUACGGCUGCUGAUGUUACCUUAAUUUCUAUUUUGAACCCUGUAGUGGGCUGAAUUAUGUUCCUGCCAAGAACUAUGUCUAAGUCCUCAUCCCCAGUACGUGAGAAUGUGACUUUAUUUUAAAAUAACAUUAUUGCAGAUGUAUUGAAAUUAUGGAUCUAGACUUGAAAUCAUCUUGGAUUUAGGGUGGGCCUUGAAUCCAAUGAUGAGUGUUCUUAGACAGAAAAGGAGGAGAUGCGGAGAGAAACAGAGAAGAGAUGAUGUGAAGCCUGAGGCAGAGAUUGGGGCAAUGCAUCUGCAAGUCAAGGUUUGCCCCCAGCAGCCAGGAGUGAGGCAUGGAGCAUAUUUACCCUCAGAACCUCCAAGAGGAACCAAUUUUUCCAACACCUUGAUUUUAAUCUCCUGGUCUCUGGAGCUCUAAGAAAAUAAAUUUCCAUUGUUUUAAGCCACCCAGUUUGUGGUCAUUAGUUAGGGCAGUCUUUGGAAACUAAUCCAAAUCCCAUUCCACUAACUGAUGUUCACCCAGUUGUGAUUCUAUGCGACCUCACUGUAGCUCUUUCCCGCCUUUCUCCAGGGUUCUAACUAUGUCCCAGAGCCUUGCAUAAUGCAUGGAAUGAGGCCAGGGAGCAGAGCGUCUAUUGCUCAGUCAUUAGCCAUCCAUUAUGCCACUGGCUGAGAUGUGCAUCAUCUUCUCUGGUCCCCAAGCUUUGACCUGCUGAUGUGCAGCUGAGCCAUCGCUCAUCCUGACCUUAACGCCUUUCCACAUCAGACUGUAUGGAAGUCACUUCCGCAGGCCCUCUCAGGGGGAGGGGCAGAGGCCAACUCUUGUCCUGGCCACUCUGAGGCUUCUAGAACAUAGAAGAGACUGUCUCAGGUCCUCUCUGCCUAAUACCCUGUGUAGCCAUUUAUACCUUAAUGUUCUUUCUCCAGACUUGGUGCAGCUUGCCUCUCCCCCAUCAUCAUCCAGAAAAAGAGGGACAGACCCUAUUGCUCCCAAGUCCUGCCCCAUUACUUCUGAGUUUCUUCUCAAUCUCCACUGUGCCUCCUGUGAGGCUCAGCCAGAUUUUAGAGGCAGGGCUGCUAGGGUUCAUGUUCCCUUCUUGGGCACCUACCACCAUCAACCCUCUUAAUUCCCUCCUGCCCUACUCUCUCCCCAGCAAAGGAAGUUUUAAUCUCUAGUGUGGUGUGGUAGGUGGAAUUCUAAGAUGGUACACACACCCGGCAUCUCGUUUCCUUGAGAGUGGGUGGACCUGUGAAUAAGCCAUUUACAUACCUUUUAUAGAUGUCACUGCCAUGAUUAAGUUACUCAUAGGUUAGUUAGUUGGUUAGGCUAGUAACCUGCCAUGAUUAGGUUACUUAUAUGUAAAGAUGAAGGGAUGUUGCAGAUGUAGUUAAGGUCUCUAAUCAGCUGGCUGUAAAUGGUUCAAAAGGAAGACUCUCCUGGUGGGCCUGACCUAAUUAGGCAAUCCCUUUAAAAGAGACACAGUGGGAGUUUGUGUACUGUGAGUCCCCGGAGGCCUCUCCAAGAAGCACAGGCUUUUGUUGCUUGAGUUAGGGACGUCUGAGAAAUGGUAGGUGGGUUGCAGGUAUUUCGAGAGGCAUUCACGAAGCACCUAUUAUGUAACAGGCUGUGUGUUUAGACCACAGGGCUACAGAGAUGGGUGUGAGUUCACAGCCAGCAGGAGAGGAGAGUCACAUAAUAAUAAUGAUCACCUUGAUUGAACACAUCUUACUUUAUGCCAGGCUCGACUGUAAGUGCCAUAUAUUAGCUCACUUAAUUCUUCCCAUGACCUUGCUGUGAAGGUGAUAUUAUUAUUGACAUUUCAUUUUCACAGAUGCAAAAAACAGAAAGGUUGAGUAACUUGCCCAAAGUUAUACAGUCAGAUGGUAAUAGAUCCAGGAUCGAGGCCAACCGGCUCCAAAAUCCACACUCAUUACUACCAUGCAAGACUGCCUCUUGGGAUAGAGAAUAAAAAGCAUACAACUCUCCCUCCCCAAAAACAAAAUAAUCUGGAUCCUCUUUCUUAUUCUCUGGUAGGGUUGACUACACCCUUCACUUGUGUACCCAUAGAAUUUUGUUAAGAUAAACUUAGAAAUGUAUAUGUGUUCACAGUUUGUGGAGAAGAAGCGGGUGUAUUGGUUUUGUAGCAAUAAUGAUGUGCAGCAAAUCCAAAUCUCCAGGGUUUUCUAAAUAAGCAUUUCCUUCUCUCUGUGGGUCUUAUGGCCUUCAGUUCAGAUCCACUCUUGUCCCAGGAUUGGGGCUGAGAAUGCAAUGACCACCUUGGACAUGCCUUUUCCUUGCAAAUGGCAGCAGCACAAGAGCACCAGGUCACGCUGUGCUCCUUAACGCCCCACCAAGAACUGUCAUAUCAUCCUUCCACCCACGUUUCAUUGGCUACAGCAAAGUCACCUGGUCAAGUCCACAGCCAAUGGGGUGGGAAGUUGACUCCACUCCUAAGGAAGCCACAGUGAAGGCAGGGAAGGAAGGAAGACUGGUAAGAAAAUGACAGGUGGCUUCCAGGCACUGAUAGGAAGGGGUUUGAACCCAGAAGACAGGGAGAGAUGAAGCUCAUCCAGAAGGAUGGGACCUCCCCCUGAGAGCUCGAGGAAAGUGGGCGAGGUCUGUGGCUGACACCCCUGAGCCUGUAGGUGUGGGGGCAAGAGGUGGCAGAUGUUCAAUCUCAGGCCUCUGUUUUCCCUGCAGAGUAGUGGGUGAGUCAUUCCCAGAGGGUGAGCAGAGGAGGCCACGCCUCCAAAGAGUGUAGAGAGGGUUCCAAGUGCAGCUGACUCUGGGAAUGUGUAAGGAGAGGAGCAGGGCCACGGCAGAGAUUGCUGGGCAGUUUCAGGGCCCUACUGAAGCUGUAGAAGCUCCUGGCCUCAGGAUGGAGGUUUUCUGGCCCCCACCUCCCGGAGGCUCCUUCCUUUUGCAAAACUAUGACCUCUCUUCUACCCACCACAUUGACGCUGUCUCUCAGUCUGGGAAUGAAUAGGAUGAGAGCGGUGGCAAACCAUUUACAAAGGGAAGUUAUGCAUCUGGCCAACGGUGAAGGAUUUCUUGAAGUCAUUGCAAGUGAUAUUAGAGAACUGGUUGAACUACUGCAAAAGCCAUUGGCAAAAGGAAGACCCACCUUAGAAGAGUUAGUGCUUAAAGUAUA